rnacentral:rRNA from 1 species
CACGUAGUUAGCCGGUGCUUCUUAUGCGGGUACCGUCAUCAACAACAGAUAUUAGCCGUUGCCAUUUCUUCCCCGCCGAAAGAGCUUUACAACCCGAAGGCCUUCUUCACUCACGCGGCAUGGCUGGAUCAGGGUUGCCCCCAUUGUCCAAAAUUCCCCACUGCUGCCUCCCGUAGGAGUCUGGGCCGUGUCUCAGUCCCAGUGUGGCAGAUCAUCCUCUCAGACCUGCUACGGAUCGUCGCCUUGGUGAGCUUUUACCUCACCAACUAGCUAAUCCGACAUCGGCCGCUCCAAGAGCGCGAGGUCUUGCGAUCCCCCGCUUUCCUGCUCACAGAAUAUGCGGUAUUAGCGUUAACUUUCGCUACGUUAUCCCCCACUCCUGGGUACGUUCCGAUGUAUUACUCACCCGUUCGCCACUCGCCACCAGGAGCAAGCUCCCGUGCUGCCGUUCGACUUGCAUGUGUAAGGCAUGCCGCAGCGUUCAAU